rnacentral:rRNA from 1 species
UACGUAGGGUGCAAGCGUUGUUCGGAAUUACUGGGCGUAAAGGGCGCGUAGGCGGCCCGCUAAGUCGAACGUGAAAUCCCCGAGCUCAACUCGGGAACUGCGUCCGAUACUGGCGGGCUUGAAUCCGGGAGAGGGAUGCGGAAUUCCAGGUGUAGCGGUGAAAUGCGUAGAUAUCUGGAGGAACACCGGUGGCGAAGGCGGCAUCCUGGACCGGCAUUGGCGCUGAGGCGCGAAAGCUAGGGGAGCAAACGGGAGUUAGAAACCCUUG